rnacentral:rRNA from 1 species
GAUGAACGCUGGCGGAAUGCUUAACACAUGCAAGUCGUUGGCGAAGCUGCGCUUGCGCGGUCUAGCCAAGGCGGACGGGUGGGUAACGCGUAAGGAAAUUUCCCUGCAAACAGGGAUAACAGACGGAAACGACUGAUAACACCUGGUAUUGUCAGUCUGGCGCAUGCCGGCCGGUUGAAAGGAGUGGCUGCGGUGGAUCCGUGCGUGCUAUGUCCGUGUUGGUGGGGUAACGUCACACAGAGGCGAUGGUAGGUCGCCGGCCUGAGAGGGUGAGCGGCCACAAGGGGACUGAGAUACGGCCGACACCCCUGCGGGAGGCAGGAGUGGGGAAUAGUGGACAAUGGGGGCAACCGUGAUCGAGCAAUUCUGUGUGCAAGAAGAAGGUUUUCGGAUUGUAAAGUGCUCACAGGAGAGAAGAAGAAAGUGACGGUACCUGCAGAAGAAGCGACGGCUAAAUACGUG